AUGAACGCUGGCGGCGUGCCUAAUACCUGCAAGUCGAGCGAACAGAUGAGGAGCUUGCUCCUCUGACGUUAGCGGCGGACGGGUGAGUAACACGUGGAUAACCUACCUAUAAGACUGGGAUAACUUCGGGAAACCGGAGCUAAUACCGGAUAAUAUAUUGAACCGCCUGGUUCAAUAGUGAAAGACGGUUUUGCUGUCACUUAUAGAUGGAUCCGCGCCGCAUUAGCUAGUUGGUAAGGUAACGGCUUACCAAGGCAACGAUGCGUAGCCGACCUGAGAGGGUGAUCGGCCACACUGGAACUGAGACACGGUCCAGACUCCUACGGGAGGCAGCAGUAGGGAAUCUUCCGCAAUGGGCGAAAGCCUGACGGAGCAACGCCGCGUGAGUGAUGAAGGUCUUCGGAUCGUAAAACUCUGUUAUUAGGGAAGAACAAAUGUGUAAGUAACUAUGCACGUCUUGACGGUACCUAAUCAGAAAGCCACGGCUAACUACGUG
rnacentral:rRNA from 1 species